GACGAACGCUGGCGGCGUGCCUAAUACAUGCAAGUAGAACGCUGAAGAGAGGAGCUUGCUCUUCUUGGAUGAGUUGCGAACGGGUGAGUAACGCGUAGGUAACCUGCCUUGUAGCGGGGGAUAACUAUUGGAAACGAUAGCUAAUACCGCAUAACAAUGGAUGACACAUGUCAUUUAUUUGAAAGGGGCAAUUGCUCCACUACAAGAUGGACCUGCGUUGUAUUAGCUAGUAGGUGAGGUAAUGGCUCACCUAGGCGACGAUACAUAGCCGACCUGAGAGGGUGAUCGGCCACACUGGGACUGAGACACGGCCCAGACUCCUACGGGAGGCAGCAGUAGGGAAUCUUCGGCAAUGGGGGCAACCCUGACCGAGCAACGCCGCGUGGGUGAAGAAGGUUUUCGGAUCGUAAAGCUCUGUUGUAAGUCAAGAACGGGUGUGAGAGUGGAAAGUUCACACUGUGACGGUAGCUUACCAGAAAGGGACGGCUAACUACGUG
rnacentral:rRNA from 1 species